rnacentral:tRNA from 1 species
GCCUUCGUAGUGUAGUUAGAAGCAUACUAAUCUAGUAUUUGAGAGGUCCGGGGUUCGAGUCUCGGCGAGGGCA